rnacentral:rRNA from 1 species
GCCAGACUCCUACGGGAGGCAGCAGUGGGGAAUAUUGGACAAUGGGGGGAACCCUGAUCCAGCGACGCCGCGUGAGUGAAGAAGUAUUUCGGUAUGUAAAGCUCUAUCAGCAGGGAAGAAAGAAAUGACGGUACCUGACUAAGAAGCCCCGGCUAACUACGUGCCAGCAGCCGCGGUAAUACGUAGGGAGCAAGCGUUGUUCGGAAUGACUGGGCGUAAAGGGUGCGUAGGCGGUUGUACAAGUUAGAAGUGAAAUACCCAGGGCUUAACUCGGGUGCUGCUUCUAAAACUGUAUGACUUGAGUGCAGUAGAGGUUAGUGGAAUUCCUAGUGUAGCGGUGGAAUGCGUAGAUAUUAGGAGGAACACCAGAGGCGAAGGCGGCGAACUGGACUGCAACUGACGCUGAGGCACGAAAGUGUGGGGAGCAAACAGGAUUAGAUACCCUUGUAAGU